UACGUAGGGUGCAAGCGUUAUCCGGAAUUAUUGGGCGUAAAGAGCUCGUAGGCGGUUUGUCGCGUCUGCUGUGAAAACUGGAGGCUCAACCUCCAGCCUGCAGUGGGUACGGGGCAGACUAGAGUGCGGUAGGGGAGAUUGGAAUUCCUGGUGUAGCGGUGGAAUGCGCAGAUAUCAGGAGGAACACCAAUGGCGAAGGCAGAUCUCUGGGCCGUAACUGACGCUGAGGAGCGAAAGCAUGGGGAGCGAACAGG
rnacentral:rRNA from 1 species